AGCGAACGCUGGCGGCAGGCCUAACACAUGCAAGUCGAACGAACCUUUCGGGGUUAGUGGCGGACGGGUGAGUAACACGUGGGAACGUGCCUUUAGGUUCGGAAUAUCUCAGGGAAACUUGUGCUAAUACCGAAUGUGCCCUUCGGGGGAAAGAUCUAUCGCCUUUAGAGCGGCCCGCGUCUGAUUAGCUAGUUGGUUGAGGUAAUGGCUCACCAAGGCGACGAUCAGUAGCUGGUCUGAGAGGAUGAUCAGCCACAUUGGGACUGAGACACGGCCCAAACUCCUACGGGAGGCAGCAGUGGGGAAUCUUGCGCAAUGGGCGAAAGCCUGACGCAGCCAUGCCGCGUGAAUGAUGAAGGUCUUAGGAUUGUAAAAUUCUUUCACCGGGGACGAUAAUGACGGUACCCGGAGAAGAAGCCCCGGCUAACUUCGUG
rnacentral:rRNA from 1 species